GGACAGAUUUUCCCAUGGGUUACCCCACCGAUGACCUGCCAAGAAUAUGUGGGGGAGAAGGGUGCACCUGUAUGAUGAUGAGAUCUGGCUGACACCAUCACAGAGACCGAACUAUCAGGAAUAGUGGGACACCAUGUGCCUGCUGGUGGCAUGCAGGAGGAAUUGCAGUCUUUUCUGUGAAGUAUUCUUACUAAGAAAUAUUCAAUCAAAACCUUAGUCUGUAUUUCUAACUUCAAGUUCAAAGGAAAUUCAGGGAACAAAGGAGUAAAACGAAACCACCAGGAAAAAAUAAAAUUCAGAAAAUGGACAUUUUAUAAGACAUCUAGCCUGGUCUCUUCAAAAAGUCAAAGGGAGUAAGUAGUGAUUCCUGCAGCUUAGGUGAAUAGGAGUCCUAAUGGAAUGUCGCCUGUUGUCUUCAGUUGGUUCUUUGUUUGAACAAAUGAACUAUAUAAUGCAUUUGGGGAACAAGUGGGAAAAUGUGAAUGUGAACUAGGUAUUAAGGAAUUCUUGUUUUUCAAAGUGUGGCUGUAAUACCACUCUAUGUAAGAUAGCAUGUUAUUAUCAUGUUUGGAACAUACUUUUAACUGGCAAGAGAGGGGAAUAUGUGUAAACAGUUGUUUGAUUUGGUGGUGGGCAUAUGGGUAUUCACUGUACCCUUCUUUCCACAAUUAUGCAUAUUUUAACUUUUUUUUCACAAUUAAUGUUUAACAAAAACAGGCUCCAAGCUUCCAACCAGUCACUGCUGCUCCACAGUGAGGAGCCGGCAGCCCUAAGUCUCGGUCUCCUCCAGGGCUUUGCACCCUCUCCAGUGGCUGGAGACCCAGGGUUGUGGGCACCACACUGAGCCUCUGGAGCCAGGCGUGCCAUUUGCAUUCCCAACUUCCCGCAAACUGAGUUAGGUACGGAUGCGGAAGUGGGGGUGGUUGAAGGGGAGUGGGGGUGUGGAGAAGUAUUGUUUGGGCAGAGUGGGUUUGGGACUUCACAAGUGCAGCAGGUCACUUUCCACCCACACCGCCUCUCACAGACUGUUUUUCAGGACAGGCCUCCUGGAGCAGAGCCUAGGAAGCCCUUUCCUCUGUGGUGUUACCUUCCUCUCCCCAGCCCUCAGUAGGAAGUUUGGACACACAAGGGGACACCAAGGAUGCUUGUGCACAGAGGAACAACCAUGUGAGGACACGGCGAGAAGGCACUCAUCCGCAAGCCAAGAGGUCUCAGGAGAAAGCAAGCCUGCCCACACCUUGAUCUUGGACUUCCAGACUCCAGAACUGUGAGAGAAAUUUCUGUCAUUUAAACUGCCCAGUCUGUGGUAUUUGCAGUGGCAGCCCUGGAAAACGAAUCCAGUGUGAGCUAUGGAGUUUACUUUGUUUUAAUAUGGAAAAACCAUUGGCUUCUAGUUCCAUUUACUGAACAGUCCCGCGCUUCCUCACUGAUCUAUCAUGACUCUUUGGUCAUCUACCAAAGUUCCAUAUAAAUGUGGAGCUAUUUCUAGGCACUUUAUUCCAUUGAUCAGUCUAUCCCUGUGAGAGGACUGUGCUUCAUUAUAAGUGAUGAUAGCUGGUAGAGAAAGGCCUUGCCCCUUUUCUUCUUCUUUAAAGGGACUUGGCUAUUUUUGAUCACCUACACGUUGCUAUGAAGGUUAGAAUCAGCCUGCCAAGUGUCAUUAGAGAUCAUAUUGGGAUUUUGAUUGUAUUUGCAUUAAAUCUGUAGAACUACAGAGAAAUAAACUUUGUAAUUAAAGAAUGAU